AGAGUUCGAUCCUGGCUCAGGAUGAACGCUGGCGGCGUGCUUAACACAUGCAAGUCGAACGAGAAAUGAUAUUACGAUCUCUUCGGAGUGACGGUUUUAUUUCGAGUGGCGGACGGGUGAGUAACGCGUGAGCAACCUGCCCUGUACCGGGGGAUACCAGUUGGAAACGACUGUUAAUACCGCAUAAGCGCACGAUAAGACAUCUUGUUGUGUGAAAAACUCCGGUGGUAUAGGAUGGGCUCGCGUAUGAUUAGCCAGUUGGCGGGGUAAAGGCCCACCAAAGCGACGAUCAUUAGCCGACCUGAGAGGGCGACCGGCCACAUUGGGACUGAGACACGGCCCAAACUCCUACGGGAGGCAGCAGUGGGGAAUAUUGCACAAUGGGCGAAAGCCUGAUGCAGCGACGCCGCGUGAGUGAGGAAGUAUUUCGGUAUGUAAAGCUCUAUCAGCAGGGAAGAAAGAAAUGACGGUACCUGAGUAAGAAGCUCCGGCUAAAUACGUGCCAGCAGCCGCGGUAAUACGUAUGGAGCAAGCGUUAUCCGGAUUUACUGGGUGUAAAGGGAGCGUAGGCGGCAGAGCAAGUCUGAUGUGAAAGCCCGGGGCUCAACCCCGGUAGUGCAUUGGAAACUGUUCAGCUUGAGUGUCGGAGGGGUAAGCGGAAUUCCUGGUGUAGCGGUGAAAUGCGUAGAUAUCAGGAAGAACACCGGAGGCGAAGGCGGCUUACUGGACGAUUACUGACGCUGAGGCUCGAAAGCGUGGGGAGCGAACAGGAUUAGAUACCCUGGUAGUCCACGCUGUAAACGAUGAAUACUAGGUGUCGGUACCCGAAGGGUAUCGGUGCCGUCGCAAACGCAUUAAGUAUUCCACCUGGGGAGUACGUUCGCAAGAAUGAAACUCAAAGGAAUUGACGGGGACCCGCACAAGCGGUGGAGCAUGU
rnacentral:rRNA from 1 species